GAUGCCAGGGGCAGAAACCCAAGACCACGAUGUGCUUGCACAGGAGUGGUUUUAUGGUUUCGUGCCCCGCCCGGAUAUGAGCAUAGAAGUGGAGCAUAAGCUUCACGAUAUGCGAAUAUAUGGUACGAAUUGUGGGAGUACGAAGUACGGAGCAAUUCGGAAGGC
rnacentral:sRNA from 1 species